AUAUAUAUAUAAAUAAAGGAAUUUCCUUUCCUUUUCAUCAAUUUCUGUAUCCCUCUCUCUCUUCCUGGCUUUGUUCUUUCUCGGUCUCGGCGAUACAAAUCUAAAAAGGGAGUAUAAUUAUGGGAUACGUGGUGAUAAUUCCUCUGUGGAUGCUUCUGUUCGUUGUGAUUGUGGGCAUUACUGUUUACCUAUUCGUAAGGGCCCGUAGACGAAGGCAAGCGGCCCAAAUUCCAAUGUACUAUGGGCCUCCUGCUCCCCCCUUGCAGGCCCAAGAUAAGCCCAACUGAUCUAUCCAAUUCCAACACUCCUCCAAAUAUGCUUUGUGUGAUAUUACGUUAUAUCUUGGCCUGUUGCUCUUUGCGUGAAACAAAUAAAUAAAUGAAUUUGGGAUGAAUCUUAAUUUAGUUAAUGUUA